CUAGAAUUUUUAAUUCAAUUGUUGCCAUGGAAAGGUUAUCCAAUUCCAUUUUCAUUUUCUUUUUUGGGUACAAAACGACAAGAUUUCCCUUCUCCGAUGACAAAUUUUGUAUUACCAAUUUCUCAAUUUCCUUUCCAUUUUCUUUGUGAAAAAUACCAUGCAGGAGUGGAUCUAAAAGGGAAAUGCAUCAAAGACUAUCAAGG
rnacentral:misc_RNA from 1 species